rnacentral:tRNA from 1 species
UGAAAAAUAGCAUAUUUUAGUGCAACUUGUUUACACCAAGUAGGAAUCCAAUGCUAGGGUUUUUUCAA